rnacentral:rRNA from 1 species
UACAGAGGUCUCAAGCGUUGUUCGGAUUCAUUGGGCGUAAAGGGUGCGUAGGUGGCGCGCUAAGUCGGGUGUGAAAUUUCGGAGCUUAACUCCGAAACUGCAUUCGAUACUGGCGUGCUUGAGGACUGGAGAGGAGACUGGAAUUCAUGGUGUAGCAGUGAAAUGCGUAGAGAUCAUGAGGAAGACCGUGGCGAAGGCGGGUCUCUGGACAGUUCCUGACACUGAGACACGAAGGCCAGGGGAGCAAACGGG